UUUUGCCUCUGGAAAUUGUGCUAUUGAUAAGGUGACUUCUUUCUUUGUACGUCUCUAGGACAUUUGUAAACCAAGGGAGACUCCGGUCCUGCAGGAUUGCGAUCUCUGCGAGUUAACUAUUUGCUUUUCCUUUAGGGCAGCCAGGGGUGCCUGAGGAAUGUCACACACAAUACUGAGGGGAGCUGGUGGAGACGGGGUGCAAGGUGCCAGCAUUUGCUUUGUUCUCAGCCAGCCUCCUGCUCCCUCAUCAGAGAGACUGGCACUGAAUUUCCAAAGAUGAUUGGACCCCUUCUCUUCCUCUGAAGAAAUGAAGAGUUAGUGAGAACUAUAGGAGCCCUGUGAUUCCAAUUAUCUCAGUCCAUUUUGCAAUGCUGUCAGCAAUUCUUUUACAUCACUCUACCCCUGGGAUUCUCCAAGGUUCGUUGCAACAGUUAUGAAUCUCCUCAAGCCCUUUCACUCACAGCAGAUAAGGAUGCCUCACAUAUUUCAGAGUUGGAGCCACGAAAAGAAUAAAAUACAGAAUAAAUACAGAAGAUUGCUCAAGGUGGCUCCAUGGCUCAAUGGCUAGUGCGUUGGACUUCUAGAGGCUGAGGACAUUCAAAGAAAGUUGCUCAAAUAUUAGCACCGUGAGUCGAUCAACCCUGAGUGUUCUUCAGCACGGCAUGUGCCCCUCUUUACCAGCAUGGAAUGGACAGGCUGUUGGGACAAUCCUUUUCUGACAGUGACUCAUCAGUCAAGAUUAAUUCAACAAGGACGGUGAGAUUCUGGCAACGGUUUUGCUGAUGGAGAAAAGCAAGCAGGAUUUGGGGGACUAUUUUACACAUGCUGGGAAAAGGUAGCUGCAUCGGAAAAGUCACUACUGUCCUGGAGUUACUCACCCCCCUCACCCCACCCACCAUCCCGGGAUCAAGUGGGAGUUCUUAUUUUUAAUGAAUGUGAGGGUGAUUCUGAUCAUCAUCCAGGUCUGACAACCAUAGACCCUCUGUCAAACCCCGUUCCUCUCUCCAUCUUGCCAGUCUGCCAAGUCAAGUCCUUCCUCAGUUGGGAUACUAUGCAUCAUAGCAGUGGGAAGGUAGUCCAAAUUAACAAGCAACAAUUUACUAAAACCAACUAUGGCAAGUGUCAAAUGAGCAAAUCUUUUUCAAUGUCUUCAUGAAUCAUGUAAUUAACACUUUCUUAGAGUAACAUGAAUGAAAGGUAGGUCAUACAGAAUUUGAAAGUCAGACAGGCAUAAAUUUCGAUAUCAAAACCCACAUAAUUAUUGAAUUUACACAUACCACAUUUUCCUUUCAAAACAAUCACUAAGUAUUUUUCUACAUGGAAGUAAGGAGGAUUUUGAAUUGAAAUUCUGUAAAAAUAAAUUAGACCUUUACAUAAAUUUAUUGGACUUAACUUAUAAUAAUGGCUUGACUCAAGUUUAAGACUACAACAAGAAUCUAUCUUUAUAGCUAUAAGUUUUGAACUGCUGAUUUAAUUAGAGGUAUUUAUUUGAUUUUUACCAAAGAAGUAAAUUUAUUCUAAUGUUUUUUUCUAAUGUUCUAAUGUUUUCAGAGCUUUGAUUUUUCUAAUGUUCACCAGCCUAAGGACGACUGGUAUUUUCACCUAGGGAAAACACUUGGAUUUUCUGUUUUUCUCUAUCUAAGUUAGUUUUUAAAUGGAAAAAUCUUAAAAUGUAAAUACAAAACCAACACAAGAGCAACAAAGACUUUCUCUGGGUGAUAUGGUUAUUUAGACAAGGGUUUGACUCAACUAUAGAAUCUUCAGGACGGGGGAGUCUGGGUUGCUCAGUGGGUUAAGUCUCUGCCUUCUGGCCUCAGGGUCCUGGGAUCAAAUCCCUACAUCAGGCUCUCUGCUCAGCAGGGAGUCUGCUUCCCCCUCUCUCUGCCUGUCUCUCUGACUACUUGUGGUCUCUCUCUCUGUUAAAUAAAUAAAUAAAAUCUUAAAAAAAAAAAAGAAUCCUCAGGAUGAUGGGUGAUCUCUAGAAUAUGUUUCCUCAGACGUUUCGUAAUCUAAGAAUGUAUUCAGACCUAACUGUCCUAUGUAACUUCAAUGCCAUUGACAUAAAUUCUUUAACCAUUAGAAACUUUAAAAAAUGAAAUCAGCUACAAAAAACAAAGCAAAAACUCAUUUUAAGUGCAAGAACAUUUUUUCUCCCUUUGUUAAGAAUGUAACCAGAGCUCCCAGACCUCCAGCUGAAUAAAUUAUCGGACAAACUUCAGCAAUUCUAAAGGCUAGUGUCAGUAGUGACACAGUGAAUGAUCUUCAUCACUGGCUCUUGGAUCGAAGCCUACAAGGUCCUAUAUAAAACUUCCUUUUGAACUUCACAACAUUCUGGAACAUUCUUAUCUCUACUGAGUACUCCCUAUCUACCCUCUUGCCUUUUCAAAUUCCUCAGGUUAAGAUAUCAUGUAGGAUUUCCCUUCACUACAUAUUUCCCAUUUCAAGCUUAUUUUUUCUUCUUUCUACUUUUCUUUAAAAUUGAAAUGCUAGCUUUUGAAAUAAUUUCCUCUUUGGGGACAUUACUAUAACUGGCCCAUGCAGUUUUGUAUCACCUUCUCUCACCGUUUCUAAAAUUCUUUUUCUUUUUUUUUUUUUUCCACAGGGAGGUGGGGAGUCAUUUAGAAGUGUCUGAAUUUGGGUGCCUGGGUGGCUCAAAUAGUUAAACAUCUGCCUCCGGCUCAGAUCAUGAUCCCAGGGCCCUGGGAAUGAGUCCUGCACUGGGCUCACUGUUCAGUGAGAAGCCUGCUUCUCUCUCUGCCUCUCUCUGUUUCUGUCUUUCAUGAAUAAAUAAAUAAAAUCUUUAAAAAAAAAAAGGUGUCUGAAUUUACAUCUUAUACUUCCUAUAUAUAAGUGAUAUGGUAAUGUUUUUCUUUGUCCCCCUGAAUGAUACUACUGUAUCAUUUAGAAAGUGUUUCUUUCAGUGAUGUAUAAUAAAGAAAACAUAGGUUCCUGCCUCCCAAAGCAUGUUUCCUUAAACACUAUCUGUUGCAGUUUGUAGUGUAUGAGUGAGUCCGGAUGAGGCAUCCGUGAAUGUUCUCUUUUAUGUAAAUAGUUGUGUGUUUGUGUUUUAAUGAUAGAAAAAAUAAAAUAUGAACUUGAAACCUAUGACAUGAGAGGUAUUAUUGUUCAUAAUUAAACUAAGUUUGCUUUUUUGGUGUUUUUGGUUUUUUAAAGUGGGUUGCUUUAGAAAAGAUUCAAAGAAAAACCCAAAGUAAAUAGUGC
ensembl:lincRNA